CCUACGGGGCGCAGCAGUGAGGAAUAUUGGUCAAUGGACGGAAGUCUGAACCAGCCAUGCCGCGUGCAGGAAGACGGCUCUAUGAGUUGUAAACUGCUUUUGUACAAGGGUAAACCUGAAUACGUGUAUUCAGCUGAAAGUACUGUACGAAUAAGGAUCGGCUAACUCCGUGCCAGCAGCCGCGGUAAUACGGAGGAUCCAAGCGUUAUCCGGAUUUAUUGGGUUUAAAGGGUGCGUAGGCGGAUUGAUAAGUUAGAGGUGAAAUGUCCGAGCUUAACUCGGGAACUGCCUCUAAUACUGUUGAUCUAGAGAGUAGAUGCGGUAGGCGGAAUGUAGGGUGUAGCGGUGAAAGGCUUAGAGAUCAUACAGAACACCGAUUGCGAAGGCAGCUUACCAAUCUAUAUCUGACGUUGAGGCACGAAAGCGUGGGGAGCAAACAGGAUUAGAUACCCUAGUAGUC
rnacentral:rRNA from 1 species